GGCUGCGUAGUAAGCACAAAGCGAACUAUUCUUUCGCCUUUUACUAAAGAAUACCGUGUGUUUGCUGCAUUGAGCAGCAUACACUUAUUUUUGGAGAGGUUCUUCCCCCUUUUGUGGAGGAC